GGGCCCGCACAAGCGGUGGAGCAUGUGGUUUAAUUCGAUGAUACGCGAGGAACCUUACCAGGGCUUAAAUGUAGUCUGACAGGGGUGGAAACACCUCCUCCUUCGGGCAGAUUACAAGGUGCUGCAUGGUUGUCGUCAGCUCGUGCCGUGAGGUGUCAGGUUAAGUCCUAUAACGAGCGCAACCCCUGCCGUUAGUUGCCAGCAUGUAAUGAUGGGAACUCUAACGGGACUGCCGGUGCAAACCGCGAGGAAGGUGGGGAUGACGUCAAAUCAUCACGGCCCUUACGUCCUGGGCUACACACGUGCUACAAUGGCCGGUACAGAGGGCAGCCACACCGCAAGGUGGAGCGAAUCCUUAAAACCGGUCUCAGUUCGGAUCGGGGUCUGCAACUCGACGGCAUGAAGUCGGAAUCGCUAGUAAUCGCGUAA
rnacentral:rRNA from 1 species